GACGAACGCUGGCGGCGUGCCUAAUACAUGCAAGUCGAGCGAAGUUUUUCUGGUGCUUGCACUAGAAAAACUUAGCGGCGAACGGGUGAGUAACACGUAAAGAACCUGCCUCAUAGACUGGGACAACUAUUGGAAACGAUAGCUAAUACCGGAUAACAGUAUUUCUCGCAUGAGAGAUAUUUAAAAGUUGGUUAUGCUAACACUAUGAGAUGGCUUUGCGGUGCAUUAGCUAGUUGGUGGGGUAAAGGCCCACCAAGGCGACGAUGCAUAGCCGACCUGAGAGGGUGAUCAGCCACACUGGGACUGAGACACGGCCCAGACUCCUACGGGAGGCAGCAGUAGGGAAUCUUCCGCAAUGGGCGAAAGCCUGACGGAGCAACGCCGCGUGAGUGAAGAAGGAUUUCGGUUCGUAAAGCUCUGUUGUUAGGGAAGAAUGGAUGUGUAGUAACUAUACAUGUAAGAGACGGUACCUAACCAGAAAGCCACGGCUAACUACGUG
rnacentral:rRNA from 1 species